rfam:Chitinophaga pinensis DSM 2588, complete genome.
UAUGGGGAAGCCGAAAACCAUCGAAGAGAGUAGGCA